rnacentral:rRNA from 1 species
AUGAACUCGCUCAUCGUGCUCACCGCCUGGUCCAUUUGGAAGCACCAGAACGCCGUUGUCUUCGACAAUGCCCGGACUUCGAACGACGAUCUUGCUCGCAUAAUCAAAGAUGAGGCCCGCCUGUGGGCACGUCCUGAAGCAACUAGGCUAGCAUCCAUCAUUCCUGUAACCUGA